rnacentral:tRNA from 5 species
GCCCUUGUAGCUUAAUGGAUAAAGUACAGCCCUCCGGAGGCUGGGAUGAGGGUUCGAUUCCUUCCAGGGGCA